rfam:Gossypium raimondii Chr08_contig_641, whole genome shotgun sequence.
UGUUAAAAUUUUCAUUUAUUUAUAUGGUUAAAAAUUGUUAUGGCUGAUGGAAUAAUCAUACAGUGGCACAUGGCAUGCUAUGUAUAUCUUAUACUGAUGUACAGAGAUCAGUUUUUAAUAAUAGAAAUAAAUGAAUUUCAACA